GACGUAGGGCGCGAGCGUUGUCCGGAUUUGUUGGGCGUAAAGAGCUCGUAGGCGGCUUGUCGCGUCGUUCGUGAAAACUCACAGCUCAACUGUGAGCUUGCGGUCGAUACGGGCAGGCUAGAGUGCGGUAGGGGAGAAUGGAACUCCUGGUGUAGCGGUGGAAUGCGCAGAUAUCAGGAAGAACACCGAUGGCGAAGGCAGUUCUCUGGGCCGUAACUGACGCUGAGGAGCGAAAGCGUGGGGAGCGAACAGG
rnacentral:rRNA from 1 species